rnacentral:rRNA from 1 species
UACGAAGGGUGCAAGCGUUACUCGGAAUUACUGGGCGUAAAGCGUGCGUAGGUGGUGAGUUAAGUCUGUCGUGAAAGCCCCGGGCUCAACCUGGGAAUGGCGAUGGAUACUGGCUCGCUAGAGUGCGGUAGAGGAGAGUGGAAUUCCCGGUGUAGCAGUGAAAUGCGUAGAGAUCGGGAGGAACAUCAGUUGCGAAGGCGGCUCUCUGGACCAGCACUGACACUGAGGCGCGAAAGCGUGGGGAGCAAACCGG